rnacentral:rRNA from 1 species
UACGUAGGGUGCGAGCGUUAAUCGGAAUUACUGGGCGUAAAGCGUGCGCAGGCGGUUUUCCAAGACAGAUGUGAAAUCCCCGGGCUCAACCUGGGAAUGGCAUUUGUGACUGGAAGGCUAGAGUGUGUCAGAGGGGGGUAGAAUUCCGACGUGUAGCAGUGAAAUGCGUAGAGAUGUGGAGGAAUACCGAUGGCGAAGGCAGCCCCCUGGGAUAACACUGACGCUCAUGCACGAAAGCGUGGGGAGCAAACAGG